rnacentral:tRNA from 1 species
ACCUGACUGGCUCAGUCAGUAGAGCAUGUGACUCUUGAUCUUGGGUUUAUGAGUUUGAGUCCCAUGUUGGGUA